rnacentral:rRNA from 1 species
AAGUGGAGCAAUCCAUGAGUAAAGUGGCGACCGGGUGAGUAACACGUGACUAACCUACCUUCGAGUGGGGGAUAACAUCGGGAAACCGAUGCUAAUACCGCAUAACAUCGCAAGAUCAAAGCAGCAAUGCGCUGGAAGAGGGGGUCGCGGCUGAUUAGCUAGUUGGCGGGGUAACGGCCCACCAAGGCGAAGAUCGGUAUCCGGCCUGAGAGGGCGCACGGACACACUGGAACUGAAACACGGUCCAGACUCCUACGGGAGGCAGCAGUGGGGAAUUUUGCGCAAUGGGGGAAACCCUGACGCAGCAACGCCGCGUGGAGGAUGAAGCCCCUUGGG